GACGAACGCUGGCGGCGUGCCUAAUACAUGCAAGUUGAGCGAUGAAGAUUGGUGCUUGCACCAAUUUGAAGAGCAGCGAACGGGUGAGUAACGCGUGGGGAAUCUGCCUUUGAGCGGGGGACAACAUUUGGAAACGAAUGCUAAUACCGCAUAAUAACUUUAAACAUAAGUUUUAAGUUUGAAAGAUGCAAUUGCAUCACUCAAAGAUGAUCCCGCGUUGUAUUAGCUAGUUGGUGAGGUAAAGGCUCACCAAGGCGAUGAUACAUAGCCGACCUGAGAGGGUGAUCGGCCACAUUGGGACUGAGACACGGCCCAAACUCCUACGGGAGGCAGCAGUAGGGAAUCUUCGGCAAUGGACGAAAGUCUGACCGAGCAACGCCGCGUGAGUGAAGAAGGUUCUCGGAUCGUAAAACUCUGUUGGUAGAGAAGAACGUUGGUGAGAGUGGAAAGCUCAUCAAGUGACGGUAACUACCCAGAAAGGGACGGCUAACUACGUG
rnacentral:rRNA from 1 species